rnacentral:rRNA from 1 species
GGGGAAUAUUGGACAAUGGGCGAAAGCCUGAUCCAGCCAUGCCGCGUGUGUGAAGAAGGUCUUCGGAUUGUAAAGCACUUUAAGUUGGGAGGAAGGGCAGUAAGUUAAUACCUUGCUGUUUUGACGUUACCAACAGAAUAAGCACCGGCUAACUUCGUGCCAGCAGCCGCGGUAAUACGAAGGGUGCAAGCGUUAAUCGGAAUUACUGGGCGUAAAGCGCGCGUAGGUGGUUCGUUAAGUUGGAUGUGAAAGCCCCGGGCUCAACCUGGGAACUGCAUCCAAAACUGGCGAGCUAGAGUAUGGCAGAGGGUGGUGGAAUUUCCUGUGUAGCGGUGAAAUGCGUAGAUAUAUGGAAGAACACCGGUGGCGAAGGCGGCCGUCUGGUCUGGAUUCUGACACUGAAGCACGAAAGCGUGGGGAGCAAACA